CACCGGCUCCGCGCCCUGAGCGGCACAGCUAACCUGCCGGGCCGGAGCCUCGGGCGCGGUGCUCGCCACGCCUUUCUCCUCACAGGAACGUGGCAGCGGCGCCUGCCCGGGACGUCCAGGGGCACGGGGAAGAACAUGUGGCCAUGGAUCCAACUAGCCCAACAGCUUGCUUUCAGCAGCGAUUGCAAGUGGUCACCAGAGGAAGGGCAAGCUCAAGGAAAGCCUUCUCUCAGCUAUCCUGCCAGCCUCCAGCUGCUUUGAGUUUGGAACAUUUCCUCAGAGCAAUGUAAUUUCUGUGUACUUAGUAGCCUUCAAUGAAUUCCUAUUCCA
rnacentral:lncRNA from 1 species